rnacentral:piRNA from 1 species
UGAGGACAUGGAUAAUAGCUUGGU